GGGGGGGGGGAGGGGGGAGAAAUAUGACAAACUGAACCUCAUCACGGGUGCUUGGAGGGGCCUAUUGGCCAACUUCUUACCAAAAGACUAUGGGCCCUUUAAAAAAAAUAUGUGAACAGGCUUGGUUCGUGGGAUUUUAUAUUUGGUUUGGAACCGAACAGGCGCAUGAACCGGAGACCACCCUGGAGCUUGUUAAGUCUAAUUGCUACUUUGUAACACUUUCCACCGCAGUGUUCUAAGUGUUUGUUUGGGCCAUCUUCUUCUCAUGAAAACAGGCAGCGGUGUUUGGUCGUCGAGUUCAUGAAACAGUUUUUGACACUGAAACUCCCGAACACCGCUGUACUUCCAUGAUCUCCUGUGUUCGGUUUUAUAACACUUGGGAAGACACUGUUCGGUAGAAACGUUCCCACAAACAAGGGUAACAAGCUUCAAGGUAAGACUAUUGACUCUCUUCGGUAGUUUUUUGUUUUUUUUAACUACCGAACUAGACCAACCACAAGCACUGAUUCUCUGGAACUGUUUUGGGCAUGGGACCAUGCAUGUGGUAGGUCAAAUUAUGACUUCCAGAAAAUUCCUGAAGCCCUGAACCGAUCUGGGUGUUUUUUGGAUAUGUUGGUCACCCGGAUCAGGGCUAUCAGGAGAUGUAACUUUUGGGGGUUUUAAGGUAUUUUGGGCGUUUUGUAAAAAUGUAUGUUUUCUGUGUCUGAAGAUAAUUGAGUUUAAUAUAUUGCUGACACAAUUAUCUCCCAGGCAUAGAGGAGGGAUUGACCUAUUUGUAUGGGAGUAUCCUGGACCUGAGAGCGAAUGUAAUAGUGUUUAUGUUUUUACUGUAGUCUACUCUCAGGUCCAGGGGGACUGCAUAAGCACUGUCAUACAAGGC